rnacentral:rRNA from 1 species
AGAUGGGAGCUUGCUCCCUGAUGUUAGCGGCGGACGGGUGAGUAACACGUGGGUAACCUGCCUGUAAGACUGGGAUAACUCCGGGAAACCGGGGCUAAUACCGGAUGCUUGUUUGAACCGCAUGGUUCAAACAUAAAAGGUGGCUUCGGCUACCACUUACAGAUGGACCCGCGGCGCAUUAGCUAGUUGGUGAGGUAAUGGCUCACCAAGGCAACGAUGCGUAGCCGACCUGAGAGGGUGAUCGGCCACACUGGGACUGAGACACGGCCCAGACUCCUACGGGAGGCAGCAGUAGGGAAUCUUCCGCAAUGGACGAAAGUCUGACGGAGCAACGCCGCGUGAGUGAUGAAGGUUUUCGGAUCGUAAAGCUCUGUUGUUAGGGAAGAACAAGUGCCGUUCAAAUAGGGCGGCACCUUGACGGUACCUAACCAGAAAGCCACGGCUAACUACGUGCCAGCAGCCGCGGUAAUACGUAGGUGGCAAGCGUUGUCCGGAAUUAUUGGGCGUAAAGGGCUCGCAGGCGGUUUCUUAAGUCUGAUGUGAAAGCCCCCGGCUCAACCGGGGAGGGUCAUUGGAAACUGGGGAACUUGAGUGCAGAAGAGGAGAGUGGAAUUCCACGUGUAGCGGUGAAAUGCGUAGAGAUGUGGAGGAACACC